CAGCAGCCGCGGUAAUACGUAGGUGGCAAGCGUUGUCCGGAAUCAUUGGGCGUAAAGGGCUCGCAGGCGGUUUCUUAAGUCUGAUGUGAAAGCCCCCGGCUCAACCGGGGAGGGUCAUUGGAAACUGGGAAACUUGAGUGCAGAAGAGGAGAGUGGAAUUCCACGUGUAGCGGUGAAAUGCGUAGAGAUGUGGAGGAACACCAGUGGCGAAGGCGACUCUCUGGUCUGUAACUGACGCUGAGGAGCGAAAGCGUGGGGAGCGAACAGGAUUAGAUACCCCGGUAGUCCCUGUCUCUUAUAC
rnacentral:rRNA from 1 species